rnacentral:rRNA from 1 species
GAUGAACGCUGGCGGCGUGCCUAAUACAUGCAAGUCGAGCGAACAGACGAGGAGCUUGCUCCUCUGACGUUAGCGGCGGACGGGUGAGUAACACGUGGAUAACCUACCUAUAAGACUGGGAUAACUUCGGGAAACCGGAGCUAAUACCGGAUAAUAUAUUGAACCGCAUGGUUCAAUAGUGAAAGACGGUUUUGCUGUCACUUAUAGAUGGAUCCGCGCCGCAUUAGCUAGUUGGUAAGGUAACGGCUUACCAAGGCAACGAUGCGUAGCCGACCUGAGAGGGGGGUCGGCCACACUGGAGCUGAGACGCGGUCCAGGCUACUGCGAGAGGCAGCAGGAAGGAAGCGGACGCAAUGGGGGAAAGCCUGACAGAGCUAGGCCGCGUGAGAGAUAAAAGUCAUCGGAGCGUAAAGCUGUGUUAUUAGGAAAGAACAAAUGUGGAAGGACAUAUGGACGUCUUGACGGUACCUAAACAGAAAGCCACGGCUAACUACGUG